rnacentral:lncRNA from 1 species
UUUGAAAUUGAGGUUGAAAAAGUUGGGUACUAUUAUAUAUUCUCACUUUCAAAUAUUAGAACAAACCUAUUUCGCUAAAAACAAAAUUCUUCAAAAACUAUACCAGCAGUUUUUCAUCCUUCUUUGAGUUCUCGCAUGAAUGUGACUAAUCAAAGGUUCUGCCAGUAUACUAUCCUUGAGAUGCCGUGAACCGCCAUCGGUUCUUCCAAAAUCAUCCAUAUGGUAAGACGCUUGCUUUUCUCAUGCUGAUGUGCUCUAUGAAAAUUCUGAUAUUUUCAGUUCAAUUAGUUUUUAAUUACCCAUCUUUUUCUUGUCAGCCAUCAAUUUCGUCGGCGAGGUAGGCCUCUAUUCUUCUUAUUUCUACGAUUUUGAUUGAAAAUCUGAUAUUUUUAAUUCAAUCUGCUAGUUUUUGAAUUUUCCAUAUUCUUUCGUUCAGCCAUCAAUUUGGGCAUAAACUCGAAGGCACCGAUGAGGUGAGGUA